CGCCCCCUACACGUCAUCAUUGAGUAAACUUUGACCCGGAACCUCACAGUCAGCAGACACUUCCUGGGAGGGAGGGUCUGCUGCUGAUUGGGUGGAAUGUGUCUGAUGGCUGUGAGGUUCCGGGUCAAAGUUUACUCAAUGAUGACGUAUAGGGGGCG